GCUUGGGAGAGAUUAGGAUUUCAUAGGGAGAAGGAAAAGAGAUCACAAUCACACAGAAGAGCAGCUUGAACUACUUUAUCCCUCACUAAGACAGGGCCAGGCUGCCUGCAUUCAGUAGUCUGCAGAGAGCAGGGAGGAAACAGCUGGAAACUGGGACAUAGAGAGCUGUCCUGCAAGUAGAAGUCUCAGAAGUAAUAACACAUGCUAUUGGUCCUCAGCAUUGUAAUCCAUCCAUGAAGGCCAGUUAUUUUAUCAGACUCUAAGAACAAGUAAAGAACAAGCCAUGGGGCAGGUGCCCACAUACACUGUGCUGACAGAUUUACAGCUGAGAAUUUUGGAGGAAUUCAGUGACAGGAGGAAAAAUAAGAAGGCAUUAACGACUGCAGCAAGCUGUAGGGUGACCUGUGCUACCAUCUGCAUGCUGAGUAGCCAGGCUUUCAUCUGCCCAUCAAGCAGUCGAGUGGAGACAGAGCCGUGGGCAAGCUGUGGGCCCAGUGGGCCGCCACCAACCCCCACCUGGACCCAGCAUCAGCUUGCAACAGAAAGGGCCCUCUUCAGAACCUGCUCCAUGGCCCAGGACAAGGCCUGCAGACCUCACCCCUGGCAGCUCACAGUGGUGAUGAGAGAAGAAAAGGUCAUGAAUGACCAUUAAGAGGGGCUGUCUGGAAAUUAAAAUUCAUGUCCAAAGAAGAAUCACCAUAUUUUGGGCUAUUUGCCAGUUCUGUUUGAAUGAAAAAUGUUUCUGGUAAAAACUGUUUUUCCCAAUCCAUGAAAAUCCCUUCUACAAGGUAGAAAAAUUAAAAAUACACAAAAGACCAGAGUCUGUAUACUUUAUAUGCUGAGGCCCAGGAGGAAACAAAAAGCCCAACCUGAACCAAGAAGCCUCAGUGUCUUGCAGAUGUCAAAUAAACACAUGCACCACUGUCUGAAGUACUUGAUUCCAUUAAACCUCGGUGUAAGUAAAAAAAAAAAAAAAUCUUUGAUUUUAGAGAAAACCAUUUGAAAUAAUUAUACCUCUUCUCUUUCAACUUACUUUUCAAAGAAAGUUGGCAUGCAUAUGUAUUUAAUAACAGAUUAAAUACGAAGCUUCUCUACCAACUUUGUAAAUACCUAGUACUAUCUACUGUCGAACCUCUUCAUCCUUUACGUUCUCACACCUGACACCUUAUCUUCUAAUAUUAAUCCUAUGUCAGUACAACACAACAAUUCAGCUCUCAAGUUAACUCAACAAAUCAGAUCUACCAUCUCAAGAUAAAGUUUUACUUGCAAGAGCGACAGUGGAUUUAUUUCUAGAUUUUUGAACAUUUAAAUGUUGCUUAGGCCCUUUAGGAUAUUAUCUGCAAUUUAAUAGAAGACAAUGUGACUGAAAUGUCAUUUAGGCUGGACUGCUAUGGAAGUGAAGGAAUGUCAUCAAAACACAAUAGUAUUUACAGUAGGCUAAUUGUUAUAGCACCCAAAUAAACGACAACUUCCUGAAAUUCAUGUAGGGGAUCUAUUUCUCUAAA